rnacentral:tRNA from 1 species
GGUGUGUAGCUCAGCAGGUCAGAGCGCCGGUUUCAUAUGCCGGAAGUCGACGGUUCGAACCCGUCCACCACCACCA